CAUGCACCAGUGGGGUCCUUCAGCCUGGCCUGUGCCCUCUCACAAUUGGGGACCCCUUGGGGGAUGUCGGAGAGCCAGUUUCGGCCUGAUCCCACAGGCCAGGCUGAGGGACCCCACUGGUGCACG
rfam:Myotis lucifugus cont2.33735, whole genome shotgun sequence.